ACUUUUCCUGCCGCCUCAACACUGGCAUGCAGCACAGGGCGUCUCCCUGCAGAACUUUCAACUUCUUGUAAUGUUUCUCAGAAAAAUCCAGCAAAAUGGUCAGCAUCAAAGAUGAAAAACAAUGAUGUCUCUCCAGAUGGAUUCUCAUUAGGUUUACCUUAUUACUUAGGUAAUCUUCAGCAGAAUUGUUCAUUCCUGAUAACAUCGUUCAUCUAAUAAAUUAAAAGUAUGUACAUUAUAAAUCAAAAGUCUGUCUAAUCCAAAGCAUGGUUCUAAUAGAUGAUGCGGCAUAAACACGAAUCAAGCAUCAGCUGAAACAAAACACAGCUACCUCAAGUGCAUCAUCUGUCCUCCACCCACUUCUCCCAUUCGAUGUAUCUUAAAGCAGAACAAUUCUUGUUUUAUUUGGUUUUGUUAGGAAAAAAUAUUUCCACUGUUAAAAUAAAUGCUUUAUAAUACUGAUUUACAUAAGGCAGGGCAAAGAUAAAUAAACUCGGCAGAAAUAGAAAGUCAUCGUUUCAGGUAUGGUUUUCAAAUUUUUUCAUCUUAAUUUCUAUGAAAAGGGUUACUAACAAGAUGUAACACCAAUGGAUCAGAUGUCACCUUUAAUUUCUCUUUCCCUGGAUUCUACAGCACAAUGAACAAAUGACAAAAAGAGAAGAAGAUGAUAGAGAAGAACCAGAGAGAAAUCAUAAUGCACCUCACAAAAUAAAAGACAGCAUACAUAAACUAGAAACUAAUGACCUGUUUUAACACUUGGAAUUUUUUCCAAAUAUGUCCUAACACAAUGAGGACUCUUAUUUCUAAAAGAAGCAAAUGACAGUCGUGCCUACUACAAAGAUUUUUGCCUUUUUGUGUACUAUAAUGUUUGCUUAAAAGCAGACACUGCUGAGUAAUUUUUGGAAAAGUUCAAGAUGAACCUUACUGUGUCUCUAGAUAACAUCAAGGUUAUUACCCUGGGUUUUGCCUGAGGUGUGAGUUUUAAAAAAGAAAUUAUGGGGGAAAUAAAUCAGACAUAAUAAAUACAGUGACAGUCAAACCAAUGAAUCUUUUAACAAUGUUAGGCAAUAAUAUUUAAUAAUAUAAAUGCCUACAUAGCAGGGUCUGGUUUUCAGUGAUGAUAAAUACGGUUAUAAAUUGAUAUUAAAGAGUUGAGAAAACUUCUCAAAACUGUAAUCCAGACUAGACAAAGAAUUCAUUUCCUAAAAUUAAUUUUCAUCUUAAAAAAUGUUAAAUAUUCCAAGCUAUUAUAACAUAGGAAGUGCAACAUUUACUGAGCAUUCAAGCAUUUGCCAGGGCCUUUGUAUUUGUUGUUUGAUUUAAUCUUUGCAUGACCCUAUGGUGUGGGUAUUUUAUUUCCAUUUAAUGAAUGGCAAAAUUUCCACUUGGAGGGAGGGUUACCUCAUCCCAAAUCUCCUAACUAGUAAGUGGUAGAACUGGGAUUCACAACCAGGUCUCUAUUUUUAAAAAGAAUAUCUACCUUCUAUAAUGCAGUACCACAGCAAACUGAGUAUUUUCUCCAUAGUUUAUAGUUCGGAUGCAGAUGUGGAGCUCUUUGCCUCAAAAAGUUAUGAGAUGGUUUUAUGAUCAAUCUCUUAUUUAAGUUAGAUCCAUAAAGAGAAAAUCUUUCUGGAACUUUAUCACAGUUCAUUGCUGGGCUAUAAUUGAGGCCUCUUUAAGAAGCACUCCAGGUUUUCAUUUUGAAUGGAAUCUCUUUUCAACACCAGAGAUAGGACUGCUUGAAAAUUAAAAGGGUUGUAUUUUAAACAUUAUCUUAACACAACUACUGCUCUUACUUAAUUGUGGCUUUUGGACAUUUUUAAAUGAAUGUUUUAGGCAAUUCAAUCAUUCAUUAAGUCAUAAUAAUGCAUUUUAUUUUGCAUUAGGCCCAUCCAAUUACUCUUACUCUUCGCUACCUCAAAAAUAGAGAUUUAAUGAACACCACUCUACAAAAACUGAAGUGCACUUUGAUAUCAUCAUCACCCAUCUCAGCAGCUGCACUUGUCAUGCCACCCUUUCUAGCAAUCCGGCUCUAGAAAUAUUCACCGCAAUAAACAGAAUUCUAGAAUGAGGCCAUUUUGACAUGCAGACUGACUGCGCAUCAAACUCUGUUAACUGAAAUACUUAGUACAAAAAAUGAUGAAACCGUCUUCUCUCUGAACACAUUUCUUAAAUACCUUAGCGUGUAAAAUCAGUUUCUCAGAGACAGCAGUUCUUCUUCUUUAACCACCAUGACUCUAUAUAAAAAGCUUAUCUGUGGUUUGCAUGUUGGGAUUAAUCAAAACAGAAAAUUAGAUCAACUGCCCAGAAGAGGUGUAAGUUUUAUAUUCAAUAUCUUACCAAACUGCUUCUAGAAAACCUAAAUCCCUGCCAUGGUAUCCUGACAGAGACUUUUCCAGGUCAGGAAUUCCAACGUAAUUAUUUAAUUCAUGACCACAGAACAGCAUGAACACUGAGAAAAGAUUCCCGGGCCCUUCCUCAGAACAAGUUCUCUGAAGAUGCAACAAUACAGUAUUUGGCUCUUUUUUUAGUUUAGCUUGUGCCUGUAAAAUAAACUUGUACUGAAUUGUGCAAAGAAAGUUAACACUAGUCAGAAAAACUCCUCUGCUUUAGCCAAAUAAAGCAAUGUGCAAACAGCCCCAAAAUGACACUUUUGGAAAUUUUCAUUUAGAGCUAUUUGCAUCCAUCCAACAUUUAAGGACUCACUUAUGGCUCAGGCACUGUACUAGUUAUAUGGGAGACUGAAAGCCAUUCUAAAGAAUUUGAAAACCACUGUACUGCAGCAGUAAAAACAGGAAAAUUUAGUCGCAUUAAAGCCAAAGGCUCCCGCAAGCAACAUGCUCUUACUGUACUUGUAUUAGAAAGGUUAAUUAUACAAUACCUGUCAGGCCAAAAUUUGAUCCUAUCAUCAAAAUAAACUGGUAUAUGUUAUCAAUACUAUAAAAAUUAUUUGAAUACAGAUGGUAAUGCAAAGUAUAUUAAAUGUAAAAAGGUAACAGUCUACUACAGACACUAGAU